rnacentral:rRNA from 1 species
UACGGGGGGGGCAAGCGUUGUUCGGAAUUACUGGGCGUAAAGGGCGCGUAGGCGGCCUACUAAGUCAGACGUGAAAUCCCCCGGCUCAACCGGGGAAUUGCGCGUGAUACUGGCGGACUCGAGGCGGGUAGGGGUGAGCGGAACGUCCAGGUCGGAGCGGUGAAAUGACGUAGAUAUCUGGAGGAACACCGGUGGCGAAAGCGGCUCACUGGACCCGAUCUGACACUGAUGUGCGAAAAGCUAGGGUAGCAAACGGG